rnacentral:rRNA from 1 species
GAUGAACGCUGACAGAAUGCUUAACACAUGCAAGUCUUUGGCGAAGCUGUGCUUGCACAGCCUAGCCAAGGCGGACGGGUGAGUAACGCGUAAGGAACUUGCCCUGCAGUCAGGGAUAACAGACGGAAACGACUGAUAAGACCUGGUAAAGUCAGGCGGACUCAUGUCCAGCCUGAUGAAAAGAGAUGCUGCAGGAGAGCCUUGCGUCCUAUUAGCUUGUUGGUGGGGUAACGGCCCACCAAGGCGAUGAUAGGUAGCCGGCCUGAGAGGGUGGACGGCCACAAGGGGACUGAGAUACGGCCCUUACUCCUACGGGAGGAAGCAGUGGGGAAUAUUGGACAAUGGGGGCAACCCUGAUCCAGCAAUUCUGUGUGCACGAUGAAGGUUUUCGGAUUGUAAAGUGCUUUCAGCAGGGAAGAAAAAAAUGACGGUACCUGCAGAAGAAGCGACGGCUAAAUACGUG